rnacentral:lncRNA from 1 species
CAGUUCUCUGUCCAGAGUCUAGAGUAAUAUAUAUCUACAUAUGUACAGAGUAAUUUCAGUAUAUACAUAUAUAAUGCACAUUAUAGACCGGACCGGGUCCGUUAACAGAACAGAAAUGUAUGUUAUACACUGUACACUCCCUCUCUCUCUCUCUCUAUAUAUAUAUACAUAUACACACACACACACACUAAUUUCUUGAUUCGCGUAAGAAGAUAACAGAGGGACCAAAGACGAAAAAGAGAGGCGGCGUUGGAAGAGAAAAAAAGCUUUCUUCUUCCUUAUGAGUUGUGUUUUGUUCUUUUUAAAUUUGAAGUCACCACCUGAAUUCUUUCUUCUCACUUGGAAUCUUCUAUUUCUUUCUUGUGUUGUGUUUUCUUUUUUAGUUC